AGCGAACGCUGGCGGCAUGCCUAACACAUGCAAGUCGCACGGGGGGGCUUCGGCCUCCCAGUGGCGGACGGGUGAGGAACGCGUAGGGACCUGUCGAGGGGUGGGGGAUAACCGCGGGAAACUGCGGCUAAUACCGCAUGACGCCGCGGCGUGACAGCCGGGGCCAAAGGCGAAAGCCGCCCGCCGAGGGGCCUGCGUCCGAUUAGCUGGUUGGCGGGGUAGCGGCCCACCAAGGCGUCGAUCGGUAGCUGGUCUGAGAGGGUGAUCAGCCACACCGGGACUGAGACACGGCCCGGACUCCUACGGGAGGCAGCAGUGGGGAAUAUUGGACAAUGGGCGCAAGCCUGAUCCAGCAAUGCCGCGUGGGUGAAGAAGGUCUUCGGAUUGUAAAGCCCUUUCGGCGGGGACGAUGGUGACGGUACCCGCAGAAGAAGCCCCGGCUAACCUCGUG
rnacentral:rRNA from 1 species